rnacentral:rRNA from 1 species
GGACUACUGGGGUAUCUAAUCCUGUUUGCUCCCCACGCUGUCGCGCAUCAGCGUCAGCAACUGCCCAGCAGGCCGCCUUCGCCACCGGUGUUCUUCCGGAUCUCUACGCAUUCCACCGCUACACCCGGAAUUCCACCUGCCUCUACAGUGCUCCAGCACGAGAGUAUCGACGGCCGACCCGGAGUUGAGCUCCGGGCUUUCACCGUUGACUGCUCGCGCCGCCUACGCGCCCUUUACGCCCAGUGAUUCCGGACAACGCUUGCACCCUCCGUAUUACCGCGGCUGCUGGCAC